ACAUGCAAGUCGAGGGGCAUCAUUUUGGUUUGCUUGCCAACACAGGCUGGCGACCGGUGCACGGGUGAGUAACACAUAUCCAACCUGCCUCAUACUCGGGGAUAGCCUUACAAAAGAAAGAUUAAUAUCCGAUAACAUAUAUUUCCCGCAUGGGUUUUAGAUUAAAGAAAUUCGGUAUGAGAGGGGGAUGCUUUCCAUUAGUUUGAUGGCGGAGUAACGGCCCACCAAGACUACCAUGGAUAGGAGUUCUGAGAGAAAGGACCCCCACAUUGGAACUGAUACACGGGCCAAACUCCUACGGCAGGCACCAGAGAGGAAUAUUGGUCAAUGUACGCGAGUCUGAACCAGCCGAGUAGCGUGAACGAUGACUGCCCUAUGGGUUGUAAACUUCUUUUAUAUGGUCAAUAAAGUGGUACACGAGUGGAUUUUUGUAUGUACCAUAUGAAUAAUGAUCGGCUAACUCCGUGCCAACACCCACGGUAAUACCGAGGAUCCGAGCGUUAUCCGGAUUUAUUGGCUUAAAAGGGAGCGUAAGCGGAAUGUUAAAUCACUUGUGACAGUUUGCGGAUCACCCGUAAAAUUGCAAUUGAUACUGGCAGUAUAGAAUGCAGUAAAUGUGAGCGGAAUUCGAGAUGUAGCGAUGAAAUGAUUAGAUACCACGAAGAACUCCGAUUGCUAAAGCAUCUCACUGGAGUGUAACUCGACACUGAUGCUCGAACGUGUGGGUAUCAAACAGGAUUAGAUACCGUGGUAGUCCACACAGUAAACGAUGAAUACUCGCUGUUUGCGAUAUACAGUAAGCGGCCAAGAGAAAGCAUUAAGUAUUGUCACUUGGGGAGUACGCCGGUAACGGUGAAAGUCAAAGGAAUUGACGGGGGGCCGCACAAGCGGAGGAACAUGUGGUUUAAUUAGGUGCUACGCGGGGUACCUUCAUCGGUCUUAAAUUUCAAAUGUAUUAUGGGGAAAUCCAUACGGCGCAAGCCAUUUGUGAAGGUGCUUCAUGGUUGUCGUCAGCUCGAGCCGUGAGGUGUUGGCUUAAGUACCAUAACGAGCGCAACCAUUAUCUUCAGUUUUAGACAGGCUAUGUUGAGGACUCUGGAGAGACUGCCGUGGGUAAGAUGUGAGGAAGGUGGGGAAGCCUUCAAAUCAGCACGGCCCUUACGUCCGGGGUUACACACGUGUUUCAAUGGGGGGUACAGAAGGCCGGUGGGUGGUGACAUGAUGCCAAUCCCAAAUCCCUUUGUCAGUUAGUAUGGAAGUCUGCAACCCGAAUUCGGGAAGCUGGAUUAUCUAGUAUUCGAGCAUCAGCCAGGGCGCGGUGAAUGCUUUCCCGGGCCUUGUACACCCCGCCCGUCAAGUCAUGAAAGCCGGGGGUCCGUGAAGUACGUAUCCGCAAGGAGCGUCCUAGGGUAAAACUGGUAAUUGGGGUUAAGUC
rnacentral:rRNA from 1 species